rnacentral:rRNA from 1 species
UACGUAGGCAGCAAGCGUUGUUCGGAAUUACUGGGCGUAAAGAGUGUGUAGGCGGUGCUCUAAGUUUGGUGUGAAAUCUACCCGGCUCAACUGGGAGGGUGCGCCGAAAACUGGAAUGCUUGAACAUGGGAGAGGAAAGCGGAAUUCCUGGUGUAGCGGUGAAAUGCGUAGAUAUCAGGAGGAACACCUGCGGUGUAGACGGCUUUCUGGACCAUUGUUGACGCUGAGACACGAAAGCGUGGGGAGCGAACAGG